ensembl:lncRNA
GGGCGUUCUGCUGCAGGCCUCCGUCAUCUGUUAAUGGGUAACAAUGAACCACUCUCUGCUUUAUCUGUACCUUGCUUUAUGUUGUGUGUGUGUAUAAACAGUCAAGGAAAGUGAGAGAAGAAGGACAAACAACGAGAGGAAUCACCAUUUACUGAAUGCAAGCAUUUGCCUGGAGUAAGGUGAAUUUCAGUUAUCCAGGUGGGCGUGACCUAAACGUUUGCAAGGACCAAGUUAAGAGCAGAGACUUUUCUCUGGCUAGUAGCAGAAGAGGAAAUCAAAGAGAUGUGAUCCAUCUGGCCUGGAAAACUGCAAACACCCUUCUCGUGAACUGCCCUUGGGGACCACAUGGCAAGGAACUUAAGGCAGCUUCCUUUUGCUGAGAACAGUUCCUGCCCAAAAGCUAGCAGGAAAAGGAGGAUCUCAGUGCUACCUCUGUAAGGAAAUGAAUUCUGUCCAUAGGCUGUGAGCUUUGAAGAAGAUCUUGAGUGCCAGAUGAAAACUGUAGUCCUUGGCCAACACAGUCCUGUGAAACCCUUAGCAGAGAGGCCAACCCCUCAGUGCCUGGAUUUCUGAUCUACAGAAACUGGAGAGUAACAAAUGGGUGUUAAAUUGGUGGCAAUGUGUUAUACAGCAGAACAUUAAUACAUGCAUAUACCCAAUAAUUCUCCAUGCUGAGGCUCCAAGGGUUGAAGCAACACACCCUGGCUCCCAACGCUGGCCAGCGGAGCAGCAAAGACUGCAACCCAGGGGGUGUGCCUGACUCUCCCCAACCCUUCCCACAGUCCUUGCAGAGAAACACUGCGGUAAGGUAAGCUGGUACUCGGAGCAGAACUGACGCUCAGCAUCCUCAUCGUAAAGCUUUGUUUUCACCUCUGAGCUCUACGACCUCUGCUCCGAGCUACAACAUGGAGCCAGCCUCCUCUUCAGCACCCAUCUGACUUGAGGGAAAGGAAUAAACACUCUUCUCUUGUACCAAUUAAUCUUUGACCACUGAGACUGCCUAACAGAGGUAGGAAGGGUGAAAUUGACUCUUGUUUUGUAGGACUGAGCUGGGACCCUGAUUUAUUUCACCUUGUUUGUGAAACAGCAGCUAAUGACUCUGGUUCACUACCCACCUGGACUAAAUUCAGGAGACUCACAGGAGAGGACAGCUGGGGCCGGAGCCAGCACACUUCAGUCUUGGCUGUAAUUCAUCUUCCCUCAGGUUCAAAAGGCUUGGGGAGCCAGAGAAACAUUUACUGUGCUCUUAUUAAAAGGUGUUAAUA